rnacentral:sRNA from 1 species
UCGGUUAGAUAGGGAUACUCAUCAAAUAACAGGAAAACCGAGAUGUCGUCUCUCAGCACAAUGGCGGGCCACACAAUGCUUUGCAUUCUUUCUUAGAAAGCGGUGGAUUACAAAGUCUGGAGAACUCUCAUUCGUAUUUAUACGGAGUUUUCAUCACAUCACCGGCACCCCCUUUU